GAGGGUUGGGCGGAGGCUUUCC
rnacentral:miRNA from 1 species